rnacentral:rRNA from 1 species
UACGUAGGGGGCUAGCGUUGUCCGGAAUCAUUGGGCGUAAAGAGCGUGUAGGCGGUCCGGUAAGUCCGCUGUGAAAGUCGGGGGCUCAACCCUCGAAUGCCGGUGGAUACUGUCGGGCUAGAGUGCGGAAGAGGCGAGUGGAAUUCCUGGUGUAGCGGUGAAAUGCGCAGAUAGUCAGGAGGAACACCUAUUGCGAAGGCAGCUCGCUGGGACGUAACUGACGCUGAGACGCGAAAGCGUGGGGAGCAAACAGG